rnacentral:misc_RNA from 1 species
AAGGAAGUCAUCAUCUUGCUUCACGCCCAAUGGGUGUCUCUGCAGCUCCGCAUGUUGAUGUUUUCCAGGGCCAUAAUUUAGCACCCCAAUCAUCUGGACCAGUUCCAUCAGCACAUAUGCCGCCUCCAUUGCGUCCAUUUUCAGGAUCUACCCCUGCACAUUUAUUGAACCACUCUGUGUCUAGUGGACUACCAAUCAAUCCAAG